GACGAACCGUGCGAACGUUAUUCGGAAUCACUGGGCUUAAAGCGCGUGUAGGCGGGCCGGCACGUCGGUCGCUGAAAUCCCCCGGCUCAACCGGGGAAGGGGCGCCGAUACGACCGGCCUGGAGGGGCGUAGGGGGACCUGGAACUUCCGGUGGAGCGGUGAAAUGCGUUGAGAUCGGAAGGAACACCUGAGGCGAAGGCGGGUUGCUAGGCUGACACUGACGCUGAGGCGCGAAAGCUAGGAUAGCAAACGGG
rnacentral:rRNA from 1 species